CCCCCAGAAGUCCAGUGGUUAAGACGCCACCCUUCCACUGUUGGAGGCCCAGGUUUAAUCCCUGGUAGGGGAA
rnacentral:tRNA from 1 species